UACGGAGGGUGCAAGCGUUGUCCGGAUUUAUUGGGUUUAAAGGGUGCGUAGGCGGCCCUCUAAGUCAGUGGUGAAAUACUGCAGCUUAACUGUAGCAUUGCCAUUGAUACUGGAGGGCUUGAGUACAGAUGAGGUAGGCGGAAUUUAUGGUGUAGCGGUGAAAUGCAUAGAUACCAUAAAAGAACACCUAUUGCGAAGGCAGCUUACUAAGCUGUAACUGACGCUGAGGCACGAAAGCGUGGGGAGCGAACAGG
rnacentral:rRNA from 1 species